CAGUAAUCUUCAAGAAUGCAAAACAGAGCCAGCACAUUCACUCUCAAACAAACAGCAUAAGUAAUUGGAUGCAUUAGCAGGUUGAUAUGUAAACUGUUACCAUGAUUCUGGGCCAUAUAUAUGCUAUUUUUGCUAAACAUAGAACUUCCUGCAUGUACUUAACAGGGAAUCUACCAAAAUGCGGCUAAUAGAUUUCGAUUGCCUCGCAAAUUUGAGACACUGCAAAUCUCUAAUAAGAAAAUAGAAUUUUGGAAUCUCUUGUAAUGUUAAACAAGAUUAGGCAUUCUUCUUGAAUUAUUUCAUGAUCCUUAAGCAAAUAAAAUCAGCCAACAGUAACAUGCCUUUUAGCAUGUGAAGGUACAACAAGAAAUGCU
rnacentral:misc_RNA from 1 species